rnacentral:rRNA from 1 species
GACGGAAGGUGCAAGCGUUGCUCGGAAUCACUGGGCGUAAAGGGUGCGUAGGCGGCUGUGCAAGUCCGGCGUGAAAGCCCCGGGCUCAGCCCGGGAAGUGCGCUCGAAACUGCACGGCUCGAGUGCCGGAGGGGAGAGUGGAAUUCCUGGUGUAGCGGUGAAAUGCGUAGAUAUCAGGAGGAAUACCGGUGGCGAAAGCGACUCUCUGGACGGCAACUGACGCUGAGGCACGAAAGCGUGGGGAGCAAACAGG